UGCUAAGAGGAAGGAAGACAGCUCCUGUGUGGACUCAGAAGACGCAACUGGUCCAUACAACACCAUCACUGUGAAGCUGGCGUUUGACCUGCUGAAGUUCAAGGUUCUGACACAGGCCUGGUUGACAGGUCCUUCCUGCGUGUGCAGAAAACCAAGCAAGAAAAUGACCUGAGAGCAAUCAAAAAGGGGAGAAAAGACACCAUUUCAAGGUGUGGACGGUUUGGUGAGUGAUGUAAAACAUUAUCAGAAGUGGUGUUGGUCAAAUGAAAGACUUUUACUGUGCAAAAACAAAAGGAGGUUUGUGGAGGAUACAUUGAACAGCUAUUUAGAAUGAACGGACCUCUCAAAGGGAAUGUCUUUUAGAGCUAAAUAAACUGCUGUUUGCCAACAAGCAUGAGACAUCUU